rnacentral:ncRNA from 1 species
UUAUUUUCGAAAGAUCUCUCAAGAUCGCUGGAGUUUAUUAUUAUAAUUUUAUCAGAUAUUUGGAAGACAAUGAAUAUAUAUGGAAGAAUAAGGUAGUUUAACAUAUAUAUAUAUAUGUACCUAUAUUUUCAAAGUCUUACUUUUCUAGGUAAUCAUAUAAGAGUUAAAAAAAAAUAUAUCUUAAUAGUAUAUUUUUUUUUUAAUUAUUACUCAAAAAAUGUAUGAAUAGAAUAAGAUAACUCCAAGUGUGCCAUUUUUGGUAAUCAAAAACUGGUGAUGAGGGAUGCUCCUAAUGCUUGGAUAAGGUGCCUAAAUAUUCGCUCAUUAGACUCCUAAAAUAAUAGGUGUUACUUCAUUAUGACAGUAGGACGGUAAUCAUUGAAGUCGAAAUCCGCUAAGGAGUGUGUAACAACUCACCUACCGAAUGAUCUAGCCCUGAAAAUGGAUGGCGCUAAAGUGAAUUACCGAUACCAAGCCAUAAAAAGUGAAAUGGCUUUUGAACAAAGUCGAUCUAACGUUAUUUUUUUUUUUAACAACUUUUUAUGAGUAGAAAAUCGUGGGGUUUAGUAUAGAAGCGAAAUGCGUGAGCAUUCGUGGAACAUAUCCCUAGUG